GAAGUUUUGAAACAUGGCUCAGGACGAAACGCCUGGCGGCGUGCUUAACACAUGCAAGUUCGAACGAAGAAGCGGUGCUUUGCACCGUGGAUUAGUUGGCGAACGGGUGAGUAAUACGUGAGUCGACCUACCUUUGACUCUGGGAUAAGCCUGGGAAACUGGGUCUAAUACCGGAUACGACCAAUCUCUGCAUGGGGUGUUGGUGGAAAGCGUUAUGGAGUGGUUUUAGAUGGGCUCACGGCCUAUCAGCUUGUUGGUGGGGUAAAGGCCUACCAAGGCGACGAUCAGUAGCGGGUCUGAGAGGAUGAUCCGCCACACUGGGACUGAGACACGGCCCAGACUCCUACGGGAGGCAGCAGUGGGGAAUUUUGGACAAUGGGCGCAAGCCUGAUCCAGCCAUGCCGCGUGUCUGAAGAAGGCCUUCGGGUUGUAAAGGACUUUUGUCAGGGAAGAAAAGGGCGGGGUUAAUACCCCUGUCUGAUGACGGUACCUGAAGAAUAAGCACCGGCUAACUACGUGCCAGCAGCCGCGGUAAUACGUAGGGUGCGAGCGUUAAUCGGAAUUACUGGGCGUAAAGCGGGCGCAGACGGUUACUUAAGCAGGAUGUGAAAUCCCCGGGCUCAACCUGGGAACUGCGUUCUGAACUGGGUGACUAGAGUGUGUCAGAGGGAGGUAGAAUUCCACGUGUAGCAGUGAAAUGCGUAGAGAUGUGGAGGAAUACCGAUGGCGAAGGCAGCCUCCUGGGAUAACACUGACGUUCAUGCCCGAAAGCGUGGGUAGCAAACAGGAUUAGAUACCCUGGUAGUCCACGCCCUAAACGAUGUCGAUUAGCUGUUGGGCAGCAUGACUGCUUAGUAGCGAAGCUAACGCGUGAAAUCGACCGCCUGGGGAGUACGGUCGCAAGAUUAAAACUCAAAGGAAUUGACGGGGACCCGCACAAGCGGUGGAUGAUGUGGAUUAAUUCGAUGCAACGCGAAGAACCUUACCUGGUCUUGACAUGUACGGAACCCUCCAGAGACGGAGGGGUGCCUUCGGGAGCCGUAACACAGGUGCUGCAUGGCUGUCGUCAGCUCGUGUCGUGAGAUGUUGGGUUAAGUCCCGCAACGAGCGCAACCCUUGUCAUUAGUUGCCAUCAUUAAGUUGGGCACUCUAAUGAGACUGCCGGUGACAAGCCGGAGGAAGGUGGGGAUGACGUCAAGUCCUCAUGGCCCUUAUGACCAGGGCUUCACACGUCAUACAAUGGUCGGUACAGAGGGUAGCCAAGCCGCGAGGUGGAGCCAAUCUCACAAAACCGAUCGUAGUCCGGAUUGCACUCUGCAACUCGAGUGCAUGAAGUCGGAAUCGCUAGUAAUCGCAGGUCAGCAUACUGCGGUGAAUACGUUCCCGGGUCUUGCACACACCGCCCGUC
rnacentral:rRNA from 1 species